CUAGCCUCACCUCCGCCUCGGGCGCCGCGGGUCCGGGGUUCGAGACAGGCAGCUCUCUGCCUGCGGCUCGUCAAACUCCCUGACCACGCCCAGUGCCCCUCAAAGCCCCGCGGCUCGGGGUGGCGAGCGAAUGGAAGCCACCAGGGCCCGAGGCACCCGAGGCGGGCAAAGACCCCCCCAACCCCCAGCAAUGAGACCAAGUGUCCCAAACCGGAGGAAGACCUGCACCCUCGCGAGAGUUCUGACACGCUCCCACAGGCCGCGAGAACCCUGGGACGCGGCCUGCCAAUCAUCACAUGGAGGCGGUUCCGGGCGCACCCAACUGGCUAAGCACCGGAAAGCUCGGGUCCCAUUGGCAUGUUUUCCGGAGCCAACGUCGCCUCCUCCGUCUGAAUCCUCGCCGCACUCAGAGGCCCCGCUUCUCAGCUGAGAAGAUGAUAAAGCUAAAGUUCUAGGAGUCAGAUGACUGACCAGUGCUGGAGCUGAGAUUGGAGCUAUGAAUCCCACCACCACCACCUCUGUGAGAGUUAUCAGACAGAAAAGCCAGGCUUUUCUCUGAUCUAACUUCUGAAGAGGAGGCAUUGCUAACAAGUGGUCAGGAUCCUCUUUAAAGAAUGACUCUCCAGUGACUCUCACCUCAAAACCAGAAUCUGUUCGUGCUAGGCUGCCUUGAGAAACCCUCCAGAGUAAGGAUGGACCCUUUAAGAAGACCUUGAAUGUGACUGUGAUGGCUGCAUCUCUAGCUGCCAUCUUUGACCAUCUCCUAGAUGUGAUGGGUUGGAUUGUGUCUCCCCUAAAUUCAUGUGUCUAAGUACUGCCCCCCUUAGACAUGACCUUAUUUGAAAUGUGAUAUUGUAGGAUCAUUGCAGAUGUAAUUAAAGAAGAAGGUAAUACUAAAGUAGAGCAGCACCUGAUCCAGUAUGACUGGUGUUGUUAUGAAAAGGAGAGACAUGCGCACAGAAACACACACUCAGGAAGAAUGCUAUAUGAAUACGAAGAUGAAGGAAGAGAUGACUCUACAAGCCAAGGAAUGCCCAAGGUUCCCAGGAAACCACCAGAAACCAGGAGAUAGGCCUAGACCAGAUUCAUCCCUCCAGCCUCUAUAAAACUCCUUCUCAGACAUCCAGCCUCCAGAACUGGGAGAUGCUGCUCUUCUGUUCUUUAAGCCGCCCAGUGUGUGGUCCUUUGUUAUGGCAGCCCUUGGAAACUGACAUGCUAAAGAUGGCAGAGAAAUUAGUUAGGAGGAGUCUGA